UACGUAGGGGGCAAGCGUUGUCCGGAUUUAUUGGGCGUAAAGAGCGUGUAGGCGGUUCGGUAGGUCCGUUGUGAAAACUCGAGGCUCAACCUCGAGACGCCGAUGGAAACCAUCGAACUAGAGUCCGGAAGAGGAGAGUGGAAUUCCUGGUGUAGCGGUGAAAUGCGCAGAUAUCAGGAAGAACACCCGUGGCUAAGGCAGCUCUCUAGUACGGUACUGACGCUGAGACGCGAAAGCGUGGGGAGCGAACAGG
rnacentral:rRNA from 1 species